GGGAGUGUGUAUAUGGGUGGCUUAUGUAUGUUUUCGUAUCACAGUUAGGUUUACUUUAUAAACAGAAUUUAGAAGUUUCCUUCUUUUUCUGUGCUUUGGAACAGAAUCAAAAGCAGCCUGCUCAUCCGUUCCUAAAGGUUUCACAACAGAAUUCCCCCAGUGAAAUAAUUUCCGUCUGGUGUUUUUGUGAAUAGUGAUGGGGGGAGUACAGUUCUCUGACAAUGUCUAUUGCUUCUGUGAUCAUUGGUCUGCUUAGAAUUUCUGUCUCUUCUGGGAUGUUUGUGUAAAUCAUAUUUUCUUGAAACAUCAUCCAUUUCAUCCAGGGUUUCAAAUUUAUUUUCAUAGAGUUGAAGAAAGAAAUCUUUUAUAAUUGUUUUCUUUUUUUCUGUAUCUAUGAUUACUUCACCUUAUUUGAUGUUUUGAAUGUGCUUUUGCCCUUUGUUUUCUGGUUGUUAAUUUUAUUCUACUGCUGCUUUUCCAACUCUUAGGUUUGUUAGAAUACUCGGUUCUGUUCUCUAAAUCAUUAAUUCAUUCUUUCAUUCUUACUAAUUCUUUUCUCCUGUUUUUCUUAGGUUUUUAUUUUUUCCUCAUCUUCUGAAUUGGUUAUUUUCUAUUUUCCUUUGAGGACUACUUUAGAGCGCCACACAAGCGCUGAUGUUCUUUCUGUCCUGUCAGCUUGGUUUUGAGUGGAUCGAAAGUAGGAAUUUUAAUGACUUUUUUUUUGGACAGGAAUCCCACACUCAUUUUUAUCCCACAUCACCGCCUCCCCCUCUUUCUCCUCGGAGCUGUUUUAAUGAUGAAGGUCGCCGAGGAGGUUCUUCGCCCUGGCGCGGGAGGCGGCAGGAGAGGCCUCCCGUGGCCUCCGCCUCUUUCUCGCCCCGCAGGCGGCGGGAGGCACCGGCUGCGCAGGGGGCGCGCGGAGGCUGAGCCACGCAGAGCUCCCCGCCGGGUGCGGGACCCGCAGGCGCGGGCUCGGGCGCUGCACGCCCGCGGGCACGCGCACUCCCGGGUGACGGCGCAGACGCCGCGGCCCGCGGCCUCCUGGGUUUGGAUUCCUGCUGGCUCUCACCUGGACGGGGCCGGGGGAGGUGAAGAUGCUCCAGACGCAGAGUUGAGGCCUGAUUCGGGGAUAUCUGGGGCGCUGUGGUACAUUAGAGAGCACGGCGGCGGCUCUGCCGCGUCGGUGCUGCUGGCGGCGGAGAGGAACCCUUCGCGGCGUCUCCCGAGCCUGCUGCGCGCGGAGAUCCAAAAAGUAAUUCAGGCACUUGCCGACCAAAUGGGAGCAACUCCUCUUGCCUGCACUAUAGAAUCCAUUUUCAAAGUGAAAUGCAAAAACUGCAGGCUGAGGCAAUACUUGCUACUGUGGUUCUCCAGGGAGAACAUUAGAUGCACGAAAGAAAAAAAAUUUUGUGGGGACAUGGACCAGAAGGAAAGAGAUUUAUCAGGAGGCAAUUGAGAUUAGGGACCAGCUGAGUUUUGAUGGUUACUGACUUACUGCCAACACUUUGUGUUUAUUCUGGCUCAUGGACUGCCAGCGCCCCAGAGGCUCAGAGUUGUGUCUUCCCAACCCACUGCUGGACUUGGGCCCAGACUAGAGUCAACUAUUCCAUCCAUUUUCCAAGAACGCAACUGUCACAG
ensembl:lincRNA